rnacentral:ncRNA from 2 species
UUGAGCCGUAUGCCGGGACGACUGGCACGUACGGUUCUGAGGGGGGACCGCCGCAGCAAUGCGGCGGUCCUACCCGAC